UACGGAAGGCAGCAGUGGGGAAUAUUGCACAAUGGGCGAAAGCCUGAUGCAGCUAUGCCGCGUGUAUGAAGAAGGCCUUAGGGUUGUAAAGUACUUUCAUCGGGGAGGAAAAAACAAAACUAAUAAUUUUAUUUCUUGACGUUACCCGAAAAAGAAGCACCGGCUAACUCCGUGCCAGCAGCCGCGGUAAUACGGAGGGUGCAAGCGUUAAUCGGAAUUACUGGGCGUAAAGCGCACGCAGGCGGUUCUGUUAAAGUCAGAUGUGAAAUCCCCGGGCUUAAACCUGGGAACUGCAUUUUGAAACUGGCAGGCUUGAGUCUCGUAGAGGGGGUAGAAUUCCAGGUGUAGCGGUGAAAUGCGUAGAGAUCUGGAGGAAUACCGGUGGCGAAGGCGGCCCCUGGACGAAGACUGACGCUCAGGGUGCGAAAGCGUGGGGAGCAAACAGGGAUUAGAUACC
rnacentral:rRNA from 1 species